UUAUUAUUUGAAGAACUAUUAUUUCAAUGGAGUCAGCUUCAUAAAUAUCUUGAAUAUAUGAAUAUGGUAGCAGCUUGGUGGAGAAAGUUUAAGAGGAUGGCAUAACCCAAUGAGCUAGGGAGUUCUGGAUCCUCACUUGCCGGGAACGACGUGCAGCUUGCCACUUUAGUUGGUCAAGUGUCCUUGUAGUCAUAUGUGUUUGCACAUCAGCAGAUCUACCGACGAAUCACGUUAAUGGGACUCUUGUAAUAUUGAAUAGACGUCUUUGCUGUAGUAAAAUAAUCGUUUUCCAAGAUUCAUUUUUUAUUUUAGUUUUAUUAAGGGGAAUCUCAGUUUUUUUUCAUUAUUUCUUGCAUCCUUUGAACUUUAGGAUUAUAAUCUAUUCAUUAUCAAUAUUUUUAACAUAUAUAUUUUCAAA